rnacentral:lncRNA from 1 species
CCCGUCUUACCAAUAAAUGGCCCAAACCAUGCCCGAUCUACUCGCUCAUGUAGGCAGCAUUAACCACUAGGUUUUAGAAACCCUCAGAGAACAUCUGUCCAAGAUAAAACUCAUAUUCCAUUCUAACAGAAAUCAUGAUACCAUUUUCGUCAAGCUGAUUAAGAUCAGUCUCACAGUUACAGUGGGGGACGGGGGUACCACCUCGUUCAACCAUUUACAAAAGGCAAGCACAUACCUCGAAGAAGAAGAAAUAACUAACCACAUCCAACAACCUAGAAUACCACCUUGCAGGUAGUUAUGAGUCUAUUAUCCUGGUUUCUUCUCAAGUCACCUAAUUAAUCUAAUAUCCAACGGUCAACACUGAACACCCCUCUAGAAUCCAAGUAAAUUAGACCGUGGUUAUUGACAGCAUCUAGAUCACCAUCACUAAUAAUGUUUUUGGAAUAAAACCAUAAGAGCUAAUCCUAAAAAUGUCUCCGUCCUAAUGAAGGUAUAUCAGAUUAGUGACGUUGUAAGAAGGUAUGAGGUGUGUAAAAAAGUUGUAGGCCUAUGUCCCUAGCGAGUCUUAAUUUCUGCCUGUCGUCAUGCCGCAAUCUGCCCCCAAAUCCUAAAACAUCUUUCUUGAGUAGAGCAAAUCAAUAUAUUAUCCCAUCAAUCAAAAUGACCGCUUAAUCAGAACAAAAGUACAUAUGCUAGUCAUGAAUAUGCAAUCGUGCCGGCCACCUUGGCACUCCAGUUUCUCUCUCGAUAAAUCUUUAUGCGCCAGCCACGCUGCUACUGUAAGGUGUUUGAUAUGUGUCCAUCAUAUUUGCCCUUUUCAUUUGUUUUCUUUUCCACAUAUAUUUUGCUAGUUUAGGCUUCAAACCAUGUAUAGUCAAUAGGAUGCCGGCUGUUUAUUUCUUGUAAAUUUUACCGUGGAAUAGAGCUUAGCUCCACCUACCUCCCCUCAUGAGAACAAGACCUCCAUUGUGGAGAUGGCUCCUUGUGGAUAAUAAGGCCUCCCGAGGGAGAAGCCUCUGAGGAGUACAAAGCCACCUCCGGGUGAAGAUUCCUCCAUGGAAUUCAUGUCCUGUUUGUCUUACGACUUGGGGAAGAACCCUAUCAUGCUCCCUCUCUCUUGUGGAUGAUUGAGAUCAAGGAUUUAUCCAUGUGUGUCUUGUGUUGCCACUUGUGUUGAUUUGUGCUUGUUUCCCCUGUGUUCUUCCACUCUUCUCUCGUGCUCUUCGCGUCCUUCCUCAAAUUUACCUCCAAUUCAUGAAGAUAGGGCCACCCCUAUGUUUUGCCCCGUAUCAUAAUAGAUUUUGCUUCAGCAGUAGGAGCUCCAAUAUAUCGCUUGCAUAGAGAUCUACCUCAAAUAGAUACUGCGUACUAGAACAUUUAUUGAAAAUGCUACCUCACCCAGGAUAGUUUUGGUGGGUUUAGGGUUUAGGGCUGGCCCGCUCCCAGCUGCGGUCCAUUGCUCGUCUCGCGCCCGUGGCUGCGGGACCGAGCUCGUCUCGCGCCCGGCUGCAGGACCGAGCUCGUCGCGCGCCCGGCAGCAGGACCGAUCCCGUCUCGCGCCCGGUAGCAGGACCGAGCUCGUCUCGCGCCCUGCGUCUGGACCGAGCUCGUCUCGCACCCGGUGCAGCAGGACGGGUCGAUGGAAGCCAAUUUUGGCCGGCCUUUUGGGUUUCGGCGCUGGGGGGCGCCCAGGGGUAUGAAAGGCAAGGCCUUUCCACUCGUCUCUUUGGUUGGGGUAGCGACGGGUUUCGGGUGAGGUGGUGUCAAGGUCUUGGAUGCUGGGGCGGCGGCCCUGGUGGUAGUAGCGCAGUGCUCAUGGGCAUAGCCUAUGGCUUGGUGCUCCCGGUGACCAUGAUCGUGUGGGCGGCAUGGUGGCCAGGGUGUGGCGUUCGAUGGCGGUGAGUGUUGCUGGGGUGAAAAAUUGCUCUAUCUUCGGACAGACCGCCGGCGGCGUAGCGCGUUCCCUUCUUUAAGGCGUCAUCGCGGCUCUCAUCGGUCAUCGUGUUGCUCCAGGGGAAACUCUGACCCCCGGGUCGGGCAGUUGCGGCGCGUUGGCGUCGUAACCUUCUUGGAGGCGCCGCCUUGGAGCACACGGUUCGUCAUAUGCGACUUCAUCUCUUUGCGAUGGCGUGUUCACGGUGGAGGACCCCGAUUGCUCUUGUAGUGUUAGGGGUGGUGUUGCUGCGCUCAGCGCCUAUGUAUCCCGCCCUGGGUGUGUGCGUGUGUUGUCGUGGGGUGCGUUUGUACUUGGGCCAUGGUUGAUCUUUGCUUUAUAUAUAAAGCGGGGCGAAAGCCUUUUUCGGUAUAGUUUUGGUAGGAAACUUGGUGUCAAAUCCUUGAGCUCACCAAGAUUUGUAUGUGGGUUGGUUUGUGGUGGUCUGGUGGAUCUUUUUACUAUGUAAUCUUUUGACUUUUGUGUUUACUCCAUGAAAUCUCGAAAACUAACUACAUCUAUCCCGUCUUACCAAUAAAUGGCCCAAACCAUGCCCGAUCUACUCGCUCAUGUAGGCAGCAUUAACCACUAGGUUUUAGAAACCCUCAGAGAACAUCUGUCCAAGAUAAAACUCAUAUUCCAUUCCAACAGAAAUCAUGAUACCAUUUUCAGUCAAGCUGAUUAAGAUCAGUCUCACAGUUACAGUGGGGGACGGGGGUACCACCUCGUUCAACCAUUUACAAAAGGCAAGCACAUACCUCGAAGAAGAAAAAAUAACUAACCACAUCCAACAACCUAGAACACCACCUUGCAGGUAGUAAGAGAGAAUUCCAAAAAUUUCCCAAAGACAACAGAUCCAAUUCUAGGUAUCUAAGUUUUGGUUGUAGCACAUGUGCUCAACCAUUUCCUCCGAUGAGAGAGCCCAUACACUUCUUGCCAUAGAGCAGUCAAGCAAUGCGUGUCACCAUGUAUCCUCCGCUCCCCAUAAGGGACAUACACACAUCGUAGACAUAUUCCGAUGGUGGAGGAGUUGUGCCGUCGGAAUUGAGUGUCGUGCCAAUCACCAUAAAAAGACCUAAGUCCAGCCCCAAUUCUCCUCAACCCCAUCAAACAUGCCUUCACCUUCCUCCAACAAAUUCUCCCUGCUCAGUUUUGUUUCGACAAUCAUUCUAUAAGCAGAUCUGACCGUGAAGUUUCCACGACGUUCCUCGCUCCAUGCCCGGAAAUCCUUCGUGUGGGGAAGAUGGUGUAUGUUUUUUCUUUUUUUAUAAUACGGUAUUUUGGUCAGCUUUCUUGGCAGUGUGUAUGUUCCUUAUGGCUGGUUUGCCGUCGUUUAAUUUGAGAUAUCAUUGACCCAUUCAAAAUCUUGAAUCAGAUCCAAAAUAGAAUACUUUAACUGAAUGAGACAACUAGUUGAGAAGUCGUUCACCCGGUCAGAAUCGUCAACCAAUCGAAAACUGAACACCACAAUUGAAUUGGAGGACUCCAAAAUUAAGGAGCAUAGUCUAUUAGAUGGUUAGACUAGCUACAGUGGGGAGUAACUUAGACUAGUAACAUGCAUAUGUUACUACCUCUAUAGCGGGGAGUAACAUAUUUAUGGUGUCAUGCAACACUUCAUUUAUUGUGUUAUAGACUCAUCUUGUCUUGGUAUGUGUGAUGUUACUCAUAGUAUGAGUAACUAGCUAUGUUACUCAAUUUGCCUCUCUCCUCGUUAAUUAGUUGCCACAUCAUCUACUUUUCAUAA